rnacentral:rRNA from 1 species
AUUGAACGCUGGCGGCAUGCUUUACACAUGCAAGUCGAACGGUAACAGGCCGCAAGGUGCAGACGAGUGGCGAACGGGUGAGUAAUGCAUCGGAACGUGCCCGGUCGUGGGGGAUAACGCAGCGAAAGCUGCGCUAAUACCGCAUACGAUCUGAGGAUGAAAGCGGGGGACCGUAAGGCCUCGCGCGAUCGGAGCGGCCGAUGUCAGAUUAGGUAGUUGGUGGGGUAAAGGCCUACCAAGCCGACGAUCUGUAGCUGGUCUGAGAGGACGACCAGCCACACUGGGACUGAGACACGGCCCAGACUCCUACGGGAGGCAGCAGUGGGGAAUUUUGGACAAUGGGUGCAAGCCUGAUCCAGCAAUGCCGCGUGCAGGAAGAAGGCCUUCGGGUUGUAAACUGCUUUUGUACGGAGCGAAAAGGCUCUCUCUAAUACAGGGGGCUCAUGACGGUACCGUAAGAAUAAGCACCGGCUAACUACGUGCCAGCAGCCGCCGUAA